rnacentral:rRNA from 1 species
UGUGUAUCAGUACAUGGCAUAUCAAUAAGCGGAGGAAAAGAAACUAACAAGGAUUCCCUUAGUAACGGCGAGUGAAGCGGGAAGAGCUCAAAUUUGAAAUCUUCAAGGUUUUACCUUGACGAAUUGUAGUUUAAAGAAGUGUUUUCUGUUGGAGUCUUGGCUAAAAGUUCUUUGGAAUAGGACAUCAUAGAGGGUGAGAAUCCCGUAUUUGGUCAUUCCUCCUAGCGUUGUGAUACACUUUCAACGAGUCGGAUUGUUUGGGAAUGCAGUCCAAAAUGGGAUGGUAAAUUUCAUCUAAAGCUAAAUAUUGGCGAGAGACCGAUAGCGAACAAGUACCGUGAGGGAAAGAUGAAAAGAACUUUGAAAAGAGAGUUAAACAGUACGUGAAAUUGUCAAAAGGGAAGCGUUUGACACCAGUGUUGUUUUUCCGAAAAUCAAUUACGAAUGUUUUGUUUUUAAGAAGUUAUGACUUCAUCGGCUUGCUUCUUUCUUUACGAAACUUUCUUAAUGCACUUUUCGGUUAACAAGUCAACAUCAAUUUCUUUUGUUGUAAAAGGGUAUGAGGAAGGUGGCUUUCUUUUCGGAGAAAGUGUUUAUAGCCUUGUGCCUCUGCAAUCGGAGAGAUUGAGGUCUGCAGCGUAGAUCCUUCGGGGUUAGAUACAUUUGUGCUAAGUUAUAGCUUUUCAUAGACAACUUGUUGAUUAUGUUUAGUCUUGUAGCUUACUCGCUUAUGCUAUUUUACCUACGCUUAGGAUGUUGACAGCAGUAUAGACUGU